UUUGUUUUGCCGCACUUCGUCUCACAAAACCAGCCUGGGCUCCAACUCAACUACUCUCCCAAGUCUCAUUUUCUUUGUCUUCUUCUUCUUUGGGAUUUUAUGACUGUGGUUCAUUCAUGUCAUUGCAUUACCGCCACCUUGUGGAUCUUACGAUCAUCACGUUCAUUUAAAUGUGCGGUGCUGGUGGUCGAGUGUAAAGGACUUUUAACGGGUUUUUCUACUUUAAUUUUCUACCGGUAUUUUAAUAAUAGUUUGUAAUUAUUUAUUUUUUAGCUCUCAGGAUUGAAGGUGGUGCGUUUGGCCCAGAUGGUGGCGCCCCCUGUUGCUGUGGCUGUCCCGUGAUCAACAUAAAUCGAUGGAGGGAAAUCCAACGAGUGUUUGUGACGUCACGGUGUUUGGUGAUUCUUUGCUCUGGAGCCUCCGAUCCAGAACCUGUCAGCACCUACCGCCAAGCCUCGGCAACUCAGCUUAGUUUUUCUAACUCCUUCUUAUCUACAUAGAGAUCUGGCCCAGGUGAGGCAUGCCUCAUGUGAACCGUGCCAUCACUGCCAGAUCUUUCCUGAGUCUGGCUGACAUCCAAUUUGCCAUGCCAGAGGUUUGCCAGAUGUGUCAGCAGAAUGCCAGAUCCGGUUCAGGUCGGUCUGCUGUGUGGGAACCGGCGAAGGCUCGCUCCUCUGGUCACCGUUUGCUCGAUUACCUGUCCGCCCUCCAACACCACCUCCAUCAGCGAUCUACACCAAACUCUGAGACUCCACACGCCACCAACAAGCAGCCUCGACUCCAGCAGCCCCCACCGCUUCUUCCUCCCUGGCAGAUUAACUGCAUUUCAUCAAGAUGCAGUCGAUCCUAUACAGUGGACUCCGGGACAAGAUUCACAUUUCAUUCAAUUCUCUGGACAAAAUAAACUGUAUUGAACUGA